rnacentral:rRNA from 1 species
AGAGUUUGAUCAUGGCUCAGGAUGAACGCUAGCUACAGGCUUAACACAUGCAAGUCGAGGGGCAGCAUGGUCUUAGCUUGCUAAGGCCGAUGGCGACCGGCGCACGGGUGAGUAACACGUAUCCAACCUGCCGUCUACUCUUGGACAGCCUUCUGAAAGGAAGAUUAAUACAAGAUGGCAUCAUGAGUCCACAUGUUCACAUGAUUAAAGGUAUUCCGGUAGACGAUGGGGAUGCGUUCCAUUAGAUAGUAGGCGGGGUAACGGCCCACCUAGUCUUCGAUGGAUAGGGGUUCUGGAGAGGAAGGUCCCCCANAUUGGAACUGAGACACGGUCCAAACUCCGUACGGGAGGCA